CUGUGAGCAGACAUGUUCAAAUGAACAAACUUGCACUGCUGUGAAAUAUUACCUGUCCUCUGGAUAUGUCAAAGGAUUUUUAUGGGAAUGAACUAUUUCUGAUGUAUAAUCAUUGGCGUUUUGUGGGCAAAUAUAUAAAAUUCUAUUAUCUCAAUUACUUUUAUGGAAGUAUUCUUUACCAAACCCUUUCUUCAUAGGUACGCUUGCACAUCUUCCUCUUCUUUUAAAACAAUGACUGCACAGAGAAGAAAAAACAUCUUGCUCGUAAUGCACUUUGGGACAUGAAGUCACAAAAGGUUUAUCUCCAGCAGCAAAAUCUUUCAGUGCAAGACAACGUGGAAGCGAACAAUUCCCCAGAUAAGGCAUCAGCAUCUCUUCCAAGAAGCACCAUCAACAUUGGCAUUUAUUAUAGGGAUGAGCAGAUGGUGCUGCAACAGACACUGUUGGACAGGAGAGGGUGUCACCCAGACAGUUGUGCAAGCUAUUUGGAGUUGAUGACAUUCAGAAACAUGAUUGAAAUUGGGAAUGAGUUAAUCUCCAAUGUGUGUGGUAUCAUCUCAUGUUGCAUCACCUCUCCUUUUUCUAUCUUGGAACAUGUGGCAAGCUCCAGAAAUUACUCACAGAUGUUUAUGGAACAGAAGGAGACCAUUUGGCCCAUCAUGUCUAUGAUGAUAUGGUUAUAUUAAUCUCAUUUUCUACCUUUUUACCAAUACCUCCGGAGGCAAUGGCAAUGCAAGUGAUAUCUAAAUAUUGAUAUUAAAGCGUUUUUGACUCAAUCAUCCUUUCAGGCAAUGAGGUCCAGACUCCCAUCAGGCUCCAUGAUAAAUUUUCCUAUCUUCUUCUCCUUCUACCUCUUAGCUUAAAUCUCUGCUUCCUGGUUAUUCAUCUCUCUACUAAUGGAAGAAGUGCAUUCCUGGCACUCUGUAUAUGCUCCGCAUGAUCUUAUACAUCUGUAUUAGGUCCCCUCUUGACCAUCACUGUUCUAAGAGUAACAAACAUUAUUCACAAGGAAGGACUUGAUGUCUCUUCGCAGUUAACAGGAAUACUCAGGUCACUAGAA